rnacentral:rRNA from 1 species
CACGUAGGGCGCAAGCGUUGUCCGGAAUUAUUGGGCGUAAAGAGCUCGUAGGCGGUCUGUUGCGUCCGCUGUGAAAACUCGGGGCUUAACCCCGAGCCUGCAGUGGAUACGGGCAGACUAGAGGUAGGUAGGGGAGAGUGGAAUUCCCGGUGUAGCGGUGAAAUGCGCAGAUAUCGGGAGGAACACCGGUGGCGAAGGCGACUACCUGCCUGUUCUUGACGCUGAGGCGCGAAAGCUAGGGGAGCAAACGGGG